UGCAGCCGAGCGGUAGAGAUCUUUCGGGAUCUUGAGAGCGGCGUACGGGUGCGGAACACGUGUGCAACCUGCCUUUAUCAGGGGGAUAGCCUUUCGAAAGGAAGAUUAAUACCCCAUAAUAUAUUUGUCGGCAUCGAUGGAUAUUGAAAACUCCGGUGGAUAGAGAUGGGCACGCGCAAGAUUAGAUAGUUGGUGAGGUAACGGCUCACCAAGUCUGCGAUCUUUAGGGGGCCUGAGAGGGUGAUCCCCCACACUGGUACUGAGACACGGACCAGACUCCUACGGGAGGCAGCAGUGAGGAAUAUUGGACAAUGGGUGCGAGCCUGAUCCAGCCAUCCCGCGUGAAGGACGACGGCCCUAUGGGUUGUAAACUUCUUUUGUAUAGGGAUAAACCUAGAUACGUGUAUCUAGCUGAAGGUACUAUACGAAUAAGCACCGGCUAACUCCGUGCCAGCAGCCGCGGUAAUACGGAGGGUGCAAGCGUUAUCCGGAUUUAUUGGGUUUAAAGGGUCCGUAGGCGGAUGUGUAAGUCAGUGGUGAAAUCUCACAGCUUAACUGUGAAACUGCCAUUGAUACUGCAUGUCUUGAGUGUUGUUGAAG
rnacentral:rRNA from 1 species